UAGGGAAUAUUCCACAAUGAGCGAAAGCUUGAUGGAGCGACACAGCGUGCACGAUGAAGGUCUUAUGGAUUGUAAAGUGCUGUUGCAAGGGAAGAAAAAGUAGUUGAGGAAAUGCUUCUACAUUGACGGUACCUUGUUAGGAAGCGAUGGCUAACUAUGUGCCAGCAGCCGCGGUAAUACAUAGGUCGCAAGCGUUAUCCGGAAUUAUUGGGCGUAAAGCGUUCGUAGGCUGUUUAUUAAGUCUGGAGUCAAAUCCCAGGGCUCAACCCUGGCUCGCUUUGGAUACUGGUAAACUAGAGUUGGAUAGAGGUAAGCGGAAUUCCAUGUGAAGCGGUGAAAUGCGUAGAUAUAUGGAAGAACACCAAAGGCGAAGGCAGCUUACUGGGUUUAUACUGACGCUGAGGAACGAAAGCGUGGGGAGCAAACAGGAUUAGAUACCCUGGUAGUCCACGCCGUAAACGAUGAUCAUUAGUCGGCAGAGAACUGUUGACGCAGCUAACGCAUUAAAUGAUCCGCCUGAGUAGUAUGCUCGCAAGAGUA
rnacentral:rRNA from 1 species